GAUGAACGCUAGCUACAGGCUUAACACAUGCAAGUCGAGGGGAAACGAUGAGAGAGCUUGCUCUCUUAGGCGUCGACCGGCGCACGGGUGAGUAACGCGUAUCCAACCUACCUAUUACAGGGGGAUAACCUUGCGAAAUUAAGACUAAUACCCCAUCGCAUUUUAUGGUGGCAUCAGUAUAGGAUGAAAGAUUUAUUGGUAAUGGAUGGGGAUGCGUCUGAUUAGCUUGUUGGCGGGGUAACGGCCCACCAAGGCAACGAUCAGUAGGUGUUAUGAGAGGAAGGUCCCCCACAUUGGAACUGAGACCCGGUCCACACUCCUACGGGAGGCAGCAGUGAAUAAUAUUGGUGAAUGGACGAGAGCUUGAACCAGCCAAGUAGCGUGCAGGAUGACGGCGCUAUGGGUUCUAAACUGCUUUUAUAGGGGAAUAGAGUGAGAUACGUGUAGUUUAUUGAAUGUACCCUAUGAAUAAGCACCGGCUAAUUCCGUG
rnacentral:rRNA from 1 species